rnacentral:rRNA from 1 species
GUGGGGAAUAUUGGACAAUGGGGGCAACCCUGAACCAGCCAUGCCGCGUGAAGGAUGAAGGCGUUAUGCGUUGUAAACUUCUUUUGUAUGGGAAGAAUGACAGGGAUUCAUCCUUGGAGAGACGGUACCAUACGAAUAAGCACCGGCUAACUCCGUGCCAGCAGCCGCGGUAAUACGGAGGGUGCAAGCGUUAUCCGGAAUCACUGGGUUUAAAGGGUACGUAGGCGGUUAAUUAAGUCAGUAGUGAAAGACUGUCGCUCAACGACGGAUGUGCUAUUGAUACUGGUUAACUUGAAUCAGGUUAGAGUUGGCGGAAUGGGUCAUGUAGCGGUGAAAUGCUUAGAUAUGACAUAGAACACCUAUUGCGAAGGCAGCUUACUACGCAUAUAUUGACGCUGAGGCACGAGAGCGUGGGGAUCAAACAGGAUUAGAAACCCUUGUAGUCC